AGUGAACGCUGGCGGUAGGCCUAACACAUGCAAGUCGAACGGCAGCACAGUAAGAGCUUGCUCUUACGGGUGGCGAGUGGCGGACGGGUGAGGAAUACAUCGGAAUCUACUCUUUCGUGGGGGAUAACGUAGGGAAACUUACGCUAAUACCGCAUACGACCUACGGGUGAAAGCAGGGGAUCUUCGGACCUUGCGCGAUUGAAUGAGCCGAUGUCGGAUUAGCUAGUUGGCGGGGUAAAGGCCCACCAAGGCGACGAUUCGUAGCUGGUCUGAGAGGAUGAUCGGCCACACUGGAACUGAAACACGGUCCAGACUCCUACGAUAGGCAGCAGUGGGGAAUAUUGGACAAUGGGCGCAAGCCUGGUCCAGCCAUACCGCGUGGGUGACGAAGGCCUUCGGUUUGUAAAGCCCUUUUGUUGGGAAAGAAAAGCAGCAGGUUAAUACCCCGCUGUUCUGACGGUACCCAAAGAAUAAGCACCGGCUAACUUCGUG
rnacentral:rRNA from 1 species